rnacentral:rRNA from 1 species
GCACGAAUGGCGUAAUGAUGGCCAGGCUGUCUCCACCCGAGACUCAGUGAAAUUGAACUCGCUGUGAAGAUGCAGUGUACCCGCGGCAAGACGGAAAGACCCCGUGAACCUUUACUACAGCUUGACACUGAACAUUGAGCCUUGAUGUGUAGGAUAGGUGGGAGGCUUUGAAGCGCGGACGCCAGUCCGCGUGGAGCCAACCUUGAAAUACCACCCUUUAAUGUUUGAUGUUCUAACGUGGCCCCGUUAUCCGGGGUGCGGACAGUGUCUGGUGGGUAGUUUGACUGGGGCGGUCUCCUCCUAAAGCGUAACGGAGGAGCACGAAGGUCAGCUAAUCACGGUCGGACAUCGUGAGGUUAGUGCAAUGGCAUAAGCUGGCUUGACUGCGAGAGUGACGGCUCGAGCAGGUGCGAAAGCAGGUCAUAGUGAUCCGGUGGUUCUGAAUGGAAGGGCCAUCGCUCAACGGAUAAAAGGUACUCCGGGGAUAACAGGCU